GGGCAAGAAGACCAUAGAAUUGGACAGGUGAUAUGCGAACAACCUGGGAUCUAGAUGCUUCUCCCCAAACCGCAUGCCCCAGAUUCAGAUGUUCUCCUCAUGGUCUCAUGAUCAAGAAGGGCAGAUAUUAUAAGCAUGCAAAGAGGAAAUGGAUUGUUUACAUUUUUGCACAAUACAUGUAUGUAAUUUAAGGGGGUUCCACUUUGACUUUUAGUUCUUACUACACUGAUUUAAGGACAAAAUCUUUACUGCAAUAUUACCAUACAUAUCUUAAUAAAUGUAAAUUUAAAGUAACACUAAUUAUACAAGUAAUAUUCGCAAAUUUGUAUAUCCGUCAUGUUUUUUGUAUACAGAAAAUAUUGUAUGAUUGUAUGCUAUUACUGUUUUCUGACGUUGUACCAGGCCUGAGGGGUAGUACUGGAAUAAAAAAGAAAAUAAGGAGA